CGCCUCCGCCUCCGCCCCCGCCUUCGCCCCGACGCCGACGUCAACGCGACGCCCUCCGCUUCCGCUUCGGCGAGGGACAUCGACGACCUGCCGAAGAACGCGGCCAACUAUCCUGUCGGUCCUUUCGGCACGAAGUAAACAGAAAAUGCAACUCAGUGCUGGGAGUUUAUAAAGUUGUAGAGGCAUGUCGCUUGGUGGCUGAUUGUUCAUUUGCGAGUCCAAGUUUGACAACCAACGAAAGCUGUUUACCAUUGAUUAUCGAGUUAAGAACGAGGACGAAGCAGCUGCAAAAGAAAAGGAGAGAGAAUGCCACGAUGAACACCGAGUAAAGUACUAACUUCUCAAGCAAAGAAAGAAGAUGCUUCCUUUAUGUUCUUCCCAAGGGAGCUCGCGCAUGGAUGCUUUUGGUGGAAAAGCUACUUCGUUUAUCUAAUCAUUGUUCGUUGAGACUAAUCUGCUUGAGCAUAAUUGCAAGGAAUAUUGGUGGAUGACAGCGACGCUAAUUGACUUCUACAUCAACACUGUUGCUCUUUUGGUUUGUUUUGUAUUUUAUAAGAAGGGAACUCUUGAAGAUUUAUUUCUAUUUUGAAGACAUCACCUCAAUUAAUUUGCAC